GUGAUAAACUGGAGGAAGGUGGGGAUGACGUCAAGUCAUCAUGGCCCUUACGACCAGGGCUACACACGUGCUACAAUGGCGCAUACAAAGAGAAGCGACCUCGUGAGAGCAAGCGGACCUCAUAAAGUGCGUCGUAGUCCGGAUUGGAGUCUGCAACUCGACUCCAUGAAGUCGGAAUCGCUAGUAAUCGUGGAUCAGAAUGCCACGGUGAAUACGUUCCCGGGCCUUGUACACACCGCCCGUCACACCAUG
rnacentral:rRNA from 1 species